GACGAACGCUGGCGGCGUGCUUAACACAUGCAAGUCGAACGGAAAGUCCCUGCUUUUGUGGGGUGCUCUAGUUGCGAACGGGUGAGUAACACUUGAGUAACCUGCCCUUGACUUUGGGAUAACUUCAGGAAACUGGGGCUAAUACCGGAUAGGAUCUCCUGCUGCAUGGUGGGGGUUGGAAAGUUUCGGCGGUUGGGGAUGGACUCGCGGCUUAUCAGCUUGUUGGUGGGGUAGUGGCUUACCAAGGCUUUGACGGGUAGCCGGCCUGAGAGGGUGACCGGACAAAUUGGGAAUGAGAUACGGCACAGACUCCUACGGGAGGCAGCAGUGGGGAAUAGUGCACAAUGGGCGGAAGCCUGAUGCAGCAAAGCCGCGUGCGGGAUGACGGCCUUAGGGUUGUAAACCGCUUUCGCCUGUGACGAAGCGUGAGUGACGGUAAUGGGUAAAGAAGCACCGGCUAACUACGUG
rnacentral:rRNA from 1 species